rnacentral:rRNA from 1 species
GUUGAACGCUGGCGGCGUGCCUAAUACAUGCAAGUCGAGCGAAGCGGGGACGGGGGUGAAACACGUCGAUAACCUCCCAUAAGACUGGGAUAAAUUCGGGAAAACGGAGCCAAACCGGAUACUUACAGAUGGAUCCACUCUGCAUUAGCUGGUUGGUAAGGUAACGGCUUACCAAGGCAACGAUGCAUAGCCGACCUGAGAGGGUGAUCGGCCACACUGGAACUGAGAAACGGUCCAGACGCCUACGGGAGGCAGCAGUAGGGAAUAUUCCGCAAUGGGCGAAAGCCUGACGGAGCAACGCCGCGUGAAUGAUGAAGGUCUUCGGAUCGUAAAGUUCUGUUAUUAGGGAGGCGGUACCUAAUCAGAAAGCCACGGCUAACUACGUGCCAGCAGCCGCGGUAAUAC